AUUUUCUUCUAGCAGGAGUCAAUUGGACCGUUACUCCACCACCUCAAAACACCCCAUUUUCUCCCUCUCUCUUCACAAGACAGCCAUGACCGUCGCGAGUGUGGCCACUUAUCACGCGAAGAAGAUCAUGAAGCUCACUCUUUCCAUUUUUAGCCCACGCUUUAGCUCCUCUAAAUGCAAAACGGCGGCGAAGAUGGCGGUGGCGAGGAUAAAGUUGCUGAGGAACAAGAGAGAGGUGGUGGUGAGGCAAAUGAGGAGAGACAUUGCAAUGCUUCUCCAGUCUGGUCAAGACGCCACUGCUCGUAUCCGGGUACAGCUUUUUCUUAUCCAGUGAUAUGCGAAUUGAGUUUUAUAUUUUAUUUAGUUCAGGAAAUUGGAAUUAUUUUCUUUUGGCUUAUUGAACUCUGUUUAAGCUUUAUUUUGGGUCAUUGCCAUUGUUUUUUCAACAAGACUUGUUAUAUUGAAUAUGUGUUCGUCUUGAGAACUGAUAUGCUUCUGCGAAAAACCCACCUGGAUUAUGUAGUAAAAGUUCUUACUUUUCUCCUAGAUGCAUUUGUUUGUCCCCAAUAAAGGCCUAAAAGCUGUGAUUUUUUUUGGGCGUAAAAGCUUUGAUUAUUCCAUUUGUCUAUUGAGUUGUUGAGUUAACCCCUUGAAGCCCAGUCAAGUCUUGCACUAGCGGAUUGUUUUACCGGCAGAAAUGCAGAACUGCGAUUUAGUGGGAUUACUAGUUGCGAUUUAGUGGGAUUACUAGUUGUCUCUAGGAAAUGGAAAUGGGAGUUCAUACUCCCCUCAAUUAACCAACAUUUUGUGAUGAAUUCCAUAUUCGCUCAGAAAAUAUUGUGAUGAUUGGCCAUUAUUUUCAGGUGUUUAUUCAAUAGUAUUUGAAAUGGAAUACAAAAUUGAGCAUAUUCUGUUUUAUGGCCACUUAAGCUCUUGUUAGAAAUUGCUCAGAAUAGGACCAUUUUGGAGUUGAAAUGGUGAGGCUUGCAAUGCAUUGAAUUGUGGUCGAUAUUGUUAUAUUCUACAUAUCAGUAACUUAAGUUUCUAGAAUAAGGAGUAAGGACAAUAAUUAAGCUCAUUUUCACUGGGGCAUCCAAAAAUACCAUUCCUUAGCAAAUUUGAAGCUUAAUGCUACAACGUACGAGUAUUUUACAAAUUUUAACUGUUCUUGAAAUGCAUAUCUUUCUGAAGGCCUCAUCUUCUGUCAAAACAUAUUACAGUGUAGCCUUACAGGCUGCUCUUUCCUUUCAAAACUUUGGUUUCUGUCAAAAAAGAUAAUUUCAUGAUCUUAUUUUUAAAAGCAAUAUGUGCAUAGGCUGUUUUCAUGCCCUAAUUUUCAUUCAUAUACCUGAUGUAUAUUUUCCCAUUUGUGAUUAAGAAUAUAGAGGCAAUGAAAUGUCGACAAAGGCACAAUGCACUACUUUCUCAAGGAUUGAUUUUUAUUUUACUAGGUCAACUUAUUAGGCAUACCUUAUUUCAGGCUUUUUGAGGUCUUGAACAUCAUUUCUGUGAUUAAAUAUGGGGAUCUGGAAUUAGGAAUGGAUCAACAUGGAAUGUGAUGAUGCAAACUGAUAUGAUCAAGCUGCUAUGUUACCCAGCAACAUGAUUGUAGGUUGACUUAACUUGCAAAUAAGUUUUAUGGUGUUGUAGGUUGAGCAUGUGAUAAGAGAACAGAAUGUCUUGGCUGCAAAUGAGUUUAUUGAGCUCUUCUGUGAGUUAGUUGUGGCCAGACUUACUAUAAUUGCAAAACAAAGGGAAUGCCCAGCGGACCUGAAAGAAGGGAUUGCUAGUUUAGUAUUUGCAUCCCCAAGGUGCUCUGAAAUUCCAGAAUUAAUGGCAAUGAGGAAGAUAUUUGAGAAGAAGUAUGGGAAAGAUUUUGUAUCUGCAGCCAUUGAUCUGCGACCCAAUUGUGGUGUAAAUAGAAUGUUAAUUGACAAGCUUUCUGUUAGAACUCCUACUGGUGAAGUGAAGUUGAAAGUUAUGAAGGAAAUUGCAAAAGAACACCAGAUCGAGUGGGAUACAGCAGAAUCUGAAAAGGAGCUUCUCAAGGCUCCUGAGGAGCUUAUUGUGAGUUCCUCUUUUAUGCAAAUUCACUUUACUUUCCUCAUAAAUGACUCUGCUCUCUUUUUUUAUCAGGAAGGACCUAACACUUUUGUUAGUGCUACAAGCUUACCUACUAAGCCAUCUCCAGUUAAAACUGCUGAAACAAGCAAUCCAACUAUCAUAUCAACUACAGAAGGAGCAAUGGGCAGUACGCAAUUUGAAGACACUACAUCUGCUGCUGAAGCAGCAGCGGAAUCUGCUAAGCAAGCAAUUGCAGCUGCACAUGCUGCUGCUUAUCUAGCCAACAAGAAUUUCAAUCCUGGAUUUGCGGUGCUUUCUGGCAAUUCCAUGGCCAUUGCAAAUGAUCUCCAGAUCAAUCAAUUUAAGGGACCUGGGAGGUUAAGUGAACCCCAGAGUUCUUCUGAUAGGUCUCAUUAUGUAAGCAAUGAGGAGGCAAGAUCAGUGCAGAUGGAUGGUGAACAAAUUUAUAGGAGACAUAGUUACAAUGAGACAAGGCCAAUCCAGAUGGAUGGCCAAAAUGUCCACAGGAGACACAGCUACAAUGCCUCUUCUCCAAAUUCAGAAAUAAAGUUUGAUGAAUCAGACUGUGAUGAAGGGAUUGAAAUGGAAGAUUCUCCAGCUGGCAUUUAUCCACCACCACCUGAGCGGCCUGCACCUCCAGUACCUUCAUCUCAUGUUGACUCAGCUCCUCGAGUUCAUCCUAAAUUACCAGAUUAUGAUGCACUCGCUGCUCGCUUUGAAGCUCUGAAGUAUCACAAGUCACAAACCUAGAAUUCAAAGUGCCUGGUGCAUCAUUUUUGAAGCUCUGAAUCAUCCUGCUCGCUUUGAAGCUCUGAAGUAUCACAAGUCACAAACCUAGAAUUCAAAGUGCCUGGUGCAUCAUUUUUGAAGCUCUGAAUCAUC
rnacentral:misc_RNA from 1 species